GAUGAACGCUGGCGGCGUGCUUAACACAUGCAAGUCGAACGGACUUAAGAUGAAGCCUAGCGAUUCUUAAGUUAGUGGCGGACGGGUGAGUAACGCGUGGGUAACCUGCCUCACACUGGGGGAUAACAGUUAGAAAUAGCUGCUAAUACCGCAUAAGCGCACGGUGUCGCAUGACACAGUGUGAAAAACUCCGGUGGUGUGAGAUGGACCCGCGUCUGAUUAGCUAGUUGGUGGGGUAACGGCCCACCAAGGCGACGAUCAGUAGCCGGCCUGAGAGGGUGAACGGCCACAUUGGGACUGAUACACGGCCCAAACUCCUACGGGAGGCGGCAGUGGGGAAUAUUGCACAAUGGGGGAAACCCUGAUGCAGCGACGCCGCGUGAGUGAAGAAGUAUUUCGGUAUGUAAAGCUCUAUCAGCAGGGAAGAAAAUGACGGUACCUGACUAAGAAGCUCCGGCUAAAUACGUGCCAGCAGCCGCCGUAACAC
rnacentral:rRNA from 1 species